rnacentral:rRNA from 1 species
GUGCCAGCAGCCGCGGUAAUACGUAGGGUGCAAGCGUUAAUCGGAAUUACUGGGCGUAAAGCGUGCGCAGGCGGUUUUGUAAGACAGUGGUGAAAUCCCCGGGCUCAACCUGGGAACUGCCAUUGUGACUGCAAGGCUAGAGUGCGGCAGAGGGGGAUGGAAUUCCGCGUGUAGCAGUGAAAUGCGUAGAUAUGCGGAGGAACACCGAUGGCGAAGGCAAUCCCCUGGGCCUGCACUGACGCUCAUGCACGAAAGC